rnacentral:lncRNA from 1 species
GAACACCAACAAAUGUUACUUCAUCAGGUAUGAGCAUACCAUUGAUCAUGGCUUCAAAUAAUUCAAGUCCAUCUUUAGGAUUCCCGUGGAGACAAUGUGCCAAUAUCAUCACAUUCCACGUAAUUUUGUUCCUACGAGAUACACUAUCGAAUAACCUACGUGCUAAAUCUACUUCCUUGCACUUUCCAUACAUGUCAAUCAGAGCCGUAUCAAUAACUACACUGGAAUUCAGCAAGGUCCUUAUCAAUGAAGCAUGAACCGACCUACCUUCCUUAAGUCUAGCUGAUCUACCACAAGCAUUCAACAACAAAACCAAGGUACUCUCAUUUCCUUGCAACCCUGAAUUAACCAUUUCACGGAACAAACUUAUGGAAACUCCGGGGUUGUUAGCACCCAAAUAAGCACUAAUCAUGAUAUUCCAAGAAAUCAUGUUCUUCUCAGGCAUUUCAUCAAACAACUUGUGCGCAUAGAGAAGAUCACCAUUUCUCACAGCCCCAGCAAUUACCGAGUUCCAGGACACAACAUCUCUCUUAGGAAUCUCAACAAACAGCUUCUUCGCGAGAUCCAAAGCGCCGCAGCAGGUGUACAUGUGAAUUAAGGAGUUUUGAACAGGCAAAACUUGAUCGCAUCCAUGCUUAAUGGCUUGCCCGUGACACAUUUUGCCAGAAUCAAUGCAAGACGUCUUCUC